AAAUCGGCCCUUUUCAGGGCCACCAAUUUUUAACGUUGAAAUAUUA
rfam:Cerapachys biroi unplaced genomic scaffold scaffold144, whole genome shotgun sequence.